rnacentral:lncRNA from 1 species
ACUGUGUGACUUAGUCUGGUGCUAGCUAGCUAGCUAGCUAAAUAGGGGAAUUGUCCUGCUCCAUGCUCACAUUCACUUCAUUUCAUACCAGCGAAAAAGCUGCUGUCCAACAAACACAUGCUUCAUUUUCAGUGAUCCGCUACAGGUCGCGUGGGUACUCACGGUAACUGACACCCAGCUCCAGACAUCCCUCUUCCCGUCCCCCUCUCUCCCCUCCCUGUGCACCAACCCUGGGCCCUGAUCCCAGGACGAGCAGCGGACGGGACUGAGCGCUGGACAAAACAAAAACAAACAAACAGAGAACAUGCUUCCUGUUCCUGUAAGCCUCUCCGCACAAAACAUUAAGAAUCUAAAACCGCAGAGCAAUAGGGAGCUCACUUACCCUGCAGGGACUUGGACUGGCUAGCCCAGCGCAGAGUGCAGUUAGCUAGCAUCACCUAACUGAGAACAGCUCCACAAAGAAGACACCUUAAAAGAGUUCAGACAGUCUGUCUGUCUGCUUUCCUGGGUAUGAAAGAUGCAUUGUGUGUUUAAGAGGACAGGGGAACUAGCUCUCUCUCUCUCUCUCUGAUGGUGUGAUUCAUUCAAAGGGCUAGCUCAGGCCCAACUCCCACUUCCACCCCAUCCACCCCCAGUCUUCCUGAAUCCUGCUUGAGGGGAGAGCACUUUCAGGGGGCUGUCCAGGUAAGGAUUUAGUGGCUCUGAUUUAAGGCCCUGGGGGGACUCCACAGCUGGGUAGGGGAUUAGACCCAGCGCUGGGGAAGGAAGGUUUGGGGAUGGUGGGGGGUGGGGGGGAAUAAAUCAGGGAGUUUCGUUCAAAACUCAAGGAGGGGAUGAUGAGAGGAAGGGAAGGGAUGAGAAGACAAGAGAGUAAGAGAGAAUUGACCAGGGUUAAAACCUACAAUCAGAGAGAUGAAUAAAGCCCUACAGGAUUGUUCUCUGUAUUAGGUAUUUCCAAGCCCUUGUUCAUUCAUCUUUUGUUGUGUAAAAAGACAAACUGAAACAGUCAAGGUCAGGGUUUCAAACCAAAACUGUGGUUGUGGCCUAGUGCCACACACACACACACACACACCCACCCACACACACAGGCUCAAACUGACUCCAACGCACGAACGCACACACAAUCUCACACGCACACACGCACACACACACACACCCACACACACACAGGCUCAAACUGACUCCAACGCACGAACGCCACACAAUCUCACACGCACACACGCACACACACACACACACACACACAGGCUCAAACUGACUCCAACGCACGAACGCACACACAAUCUCACACGCACACACGCACGCACACACAGGCUCAAAC